rnacentral:rRNA from 1 species
CAGUCGCCACGGUAAUACGAAGGGUGCAAGCGUUACUCGGAAUUACUGGGCGUAAAGCGUGCGUAGGUGGUGGUUUAAGUCCGUUGUGAAAGCCCUGGGCUCAACCUGGGAAUUGCAGUGGAUACUGGGUCACUAGAGUGUGGUAGAGGAUAGUGGAAUUUCCGGUGUAGCAGUGAAAUGCGUAGAGAUCGGAAGGAACAUCUGUGGCGAAGGCGACUAUCUGGGCAAACACUGACACUGAGGCACGAAAGCGUGGGGAGCAAACAGGAUUAGAGACCCGGGUAGUCCCUGUCUCUUAUAC